AAUGAAGAUUUUGUGACUGAGUGGCGGACGGGUGAGUAACGCGUGGGUAACCUGCCUCAUACAGGGGGAUAACAGUUGGAAACGACUGCUAAUACCGCAUAAUGCAUUUUGACCGCAUGAUCGAGAUGCCAAAGAUUUAUCGCUGAAGGAUGGACUCGCGUCUGAUUAGGUAGUUGGUGGGGUAACGGCCUACCAAGCCGACGAUCAGUAGCCGGACUGAGAGGUUGACCGGCCACAUUGGGACUGAGAUACGGCCCAGACUCC
rnacentral:rRNA from 1 species